CCUACGGGAGGCAGCAGUGGGGAAUAUUGGGCAAUGGACGCAAGUCUGACCCAGCAACGCCGCGUGAAGGAAGAAGGCUUUCGGGUUGUAAACCUCUUUUAAGGGGGAAGAGCAGAAGACGGUACCCCUUGAAUAAGCCACGGCUAACUACGUGCCAGCAGCCGCGGUAAUACGUAGGUGGCAAGUGUUGUCCGGAUUUACUGGGUGUAAAGGGCGUGCAGCCGGGGAGACAAGUCAGAUGUGAAAUCCGCGGGCUCAACCCGCGAACUGCAUUUGAAACUGUGUGCCUUGAGUGUCGGAGAGGUCAGCGGAAUUCCUAGUGUAGCGGUGAAAUGCGUAGAUAUUAGGAAGAACACCAGUGGCGAAGGCGGAUGACUGGACGACAACUGACGGUGAGGCGCGAAAGCGUGGGGAGCAAACAGGAUUAGAUACCCGAGUAGUC
rnacentral:rRNA from 1 species